CGGGUGGACAUUUGAACCCCAAAACCCUCGAAGGAAAACGGCUCCGAUUCCGCCCCCUCGUGUCUGGAGGUUACCCAUUUCUUCUCUUCUCUCUUUCGAGAUGUUAGAAUUCUAAACAUAUCUUUCCUUCUUCACGAAAUUUAUACCUAUAUUUCUCCUUUCUAUUGACCCAAGCCAUAGCAACUGAGAAAGUCGCAAUCUUUUCUCCCCAGAUGUUCCCGUACUGGAAUCCCAAACCUUUUCCCAGACGUCCAUGCGGCGGCUCGCCAAGAUCCCAUUUUCUCUUCUCAAAAAACCAACCACCACUCCGAUUUCCCACCGCUUCUCUUCCUCGGCAUCCGCCUCUCUUAUUCAAGUAGUCCCGGAGGAGAAAGAGACCUCCAGCUCAAAUUCAAGCCCCUCUUCGCAAGAUUCUUGUGGAUUCUCAUCUGUUGAGGUUCUUCAAACCUUGAGCAGUCUCGAGAGGAAGCCCGACGCUGCUUUCGCCUUCUUUAACAACACCAAGAGCCUCGGUUUUCGGCACGACUUUUCCAGCUACUCGGAGAUGGUUCGCAUCUUAGACAACUCGGGACACAAGAAAAAGUUGAUAUCUUUGUGCUCGGAGCUCAUUUCGUCGAAUACCAAUAUGGGUUUUGAAGUCUCAGCUCUCUUUGAUGCCCUUUUGCAGAGAUUCCAUCGGCCGGAGAUGUUACUUCUUCUGUUUGAUGCAUUGAUCAAGGCGUACGCCAUUUGUGGGAAGCCCAAGGAGGCUGCCCGCGCUUUCUUCCAGCUUCCUGGACUCGGUUUCGUACCGUCAGCAAAGUCUUGCAAUUUUCUUAUGAAUUUCCUGGCUAAAGUUGGUGACUUGGAGAUGGUGAUGGCUGUUUUUGAUCAGAUGAAGAGGUUUGGAACGAGCCGGGAUGCUUGCACAUUUACCAUUUUGAUCAAAGCAUUCUGCCGAGCUGGGCAAGUAGAAGAGGCGCUUGACGUUUUGAAUGGAAUGAAGGAGAUGGGAAUUAAGCCUGAUGAGAUCACUUACCUGACGGUUAUAGAAGGGAUGUGCAACAAUGGGAAAUCGGAUUUGGGUUAUGUAUUUCUUAAAGAGAUUGUAAGAGAGGGCACCCCUUUGGAGCACAUCGCUUAUAAUAAGGUGAUUGGUGGCUUGUGUAGAGAGAUGAGGCUUCAGGAGGCUGAAAAAGUUUUGGAGGACAUGGCAAGACAGAAUAUGCUCCCUGAUAUGUUUAGUUACAAAUUUCUUAUUAGAGGUUAUUGUGCAAGCAAGAACCUCUUAAGAGUUUUAGAUCUUUAUGAGGAGAUGAUUGCGAAGGGUAUCGGACCAGAUCAUGUCGUUGUGAGCCUUUUGCUCCAAUGUUUUUGUAAAGCAGGCAUGGCGUCUGAGGCUUUAGUCUACUUUAAGAGGUUUAAGGACUCAGGACUUUACCUUGACAAGAUUUUAUAUAAUAUUGUGAUAGAUGUUCACUGCAAGAUGGGAAAUAUGAACGAGGCGGUUCAACUGCUUCAAGAGAUGAAGUGCCAGGGCUUGGUUCCAGAUAGAAUCCAUUUCACGAAUUUGAUAAAUGGGUACUGCUGCAAGGGUGAAAUGUAUAAUGCUCACAAAGUGUUUACUGAUAUGGUGAACAGCAAUGUGGAGCCCGACCUUGUUACCUACAAUAUACUUGCUACUGGAUUUUGUAGGAAUGGGCUUACGAAGGAGGCAUUUGAUCUUCUAGAAUAUAUGUUGGACAGAGGUGUUGAGCCUAAUGCUACCACCUAUAGUAUGAUUAUUGUGAGCCUCUGUAGAGGUGGCAAGUUAAAGGAGGCAACUCUACUAUUUAAAUCCUUAGAGGGGAGGGGGAUCGAUCAAUAUUUAGUUCUUUGUAGUGCUAUGGUUUGUGGGUACUUAGAAUGUAGUUGUACAAGAGAAGCUUAUGCACUUUUCAUUAGAGUCUCUAAGCAAGGACAUCUAGUGAAUGAGAUUGCAUGCUCCAAACUUAUUUCUGAGCUUUGUAGGGAGGGAGAUGUAGAGAGAGCUUCCAUGGUGUUUGAGUUGAUGCUCAAGAUGGAUGUUACCCCAGAUGUAAUUUCCUAUAGCAAACUUAUUGCAGCUUAUUCUCAGAUUGGAGAUAUGAGACAUGCUCGGGUUUGGUUUAAGGAUCUGAUUGUACGAGGGCUUUCCCCUGAUGUUGUUUUGUACACUACACUAAUGAAUGGGUACUGCAAGGUUAAUCAUUUACAAGAAGCCUGCAAAUUGUUUGUUGAUAUGAUAGAACGAGGGAUUAAACCUGAUGUAGUUGCAUACACAGUUAUGUUGGAUGGUCAUUUGAAAGAAAUCUUGAGCCAAAGUUGGUUAAACCGUGACAAGGAAAAGGGAAGAGCUGAAAUAAGAGCCAAAUCUUCAACAUUGUUAAAUUGGAUGACCACCAUGGGGAUCAAACCUGAUGUCAUUUUUUGCACCGUAUUGAUUGAUGGACAAUGCAAGAUGGAUCAUGUUCAGGAUGCCCAUAAAUUAUUUGAAGAGAUGAUGGUAGGUGGGGUGAUGCCUGAUGUAGUCACCUAUACUACUUUAGUAAGUGGUUACUGCAGACAGGGAGAAGUAUGUAAGGCUGAAGACCUGUUAGAAGAUAUGCUAGAUCGAACAAUACCACCUGAUGCUGUCUCAUUUUUUGUCCUGGAUCGGUGGAGCUUGAGGUUCAGAUGUUUACAGCUCCGACAAUAAUUCUUGUUUUGGAAAGUUGUGAGGAGACAAACAUAACAUCUUGUCUUAGGAGGCAAUGCAAUACUUUUAUUUCUCAGACUGCAUAAAUGCCUUAAAGUGCAGUGGAAGAUUCUACCACAGGAUUGCUAAAGCUCCAAUGUAACAGGCUUAAGCUUCUCUGUUUCCGUCCAUGGUUUAUGUUGAGCUUCAGCUUUGACAUUGAAUUUAGUACAAGAUGCCUUAUGCCAUAUUCUAGGAACAUCCACAUGUUUGAACUGAUUGAGAGUGAAAUCCAAUGGUCAAAGGUAAGGGAUCUAGCACCUUACUUGAAGAUCUUCUUGAGGAAAUUUCCUGUUGCGUAAUAUCCACAGUAGCAUUGAAAGAUGUUGGCAGUACUUGUAUUUUUCCACAGAUAUGGAGAUACGCUUGGGUUUUGAUUUACCAACAAGCCCCAGUGAAUUCAUUCAAUUAAAACACUUGGUGCUGAUCUUUCUCAGUGGCUUGGAUGAGGAAGAAAACUGUUUUGGAUUGAUUUCUCUUCUUAAUGCUGCUCCUAUACUGGAGAAAUUUGAGUUGCAUGUAUGUCAUUUUAUCCUGACCAUUCUAUGUUAGCCAUAUAGAGAAUCUGUUAUAGAUGAUUUCUCUAUGAUAAUUCACCACUUAACUAUAAAUCUGAAUAGCCCAUUCCACAAGCACCUUGGAGAGUAUCCUAAUCUAAAAGCCAAGAAAACCACAAAGUUCAUUUUCAGUUUAGGUUGUAAUAGCAUUAUUCAAUAUGCCAAAAUUUAGAACCUUUCAACCAACCAUAAGCUUCUACUUUGGGUUGUAGAGUGCUGAAACCAACGAACUAAUUAUUUUUGUGCAUUAAAAAUAGAUCGAGCUUAUGUUACUAUAUUAGUUUUCUAGAAAUCUCUGGAAAAUAGUAGAACAUUGAGCAACAUAAAACUAUAUAUAAGAAAAACCUGGGACAGAAUUCUGCAUCUGCUUGAAUCAAUUUUGUAUGUCUUCUCAUGGUUCAUGUAGUUAAGCUUGAGCCAUUCAUUUAAAUUUGAGCAAAAUUUGAGUUGCCCAAGAACAACUCAUCUAAUAGAUUCAGCGAGAGUAGAAGAUUCCUUGAGGUUUGGGGCCACAAAUCUAUCCCUUAGAUUUGGUAUACGCAGAAUGAGAGAUGAGAGCGAUUCUUUCAAAUUAGCUAACUUAUAAUUGCUCAUUUUUCCAAAACAUUUCAAAUAACUAUUUUAAUGAUGUUAUCCAAUAUUGAUUGCAGCUGCCUUUUCCCAUCUUGUAGUUCUAAUGGCAUCUAAGAACUUUAUUAUCAUCAUCAUCUUAUUUUUAUCAUUUUCAACCUAAGUGAUAUUUAUCAGAAAACAUCAAGCUGUUAAUGGGAGUUGAUUUUUAUCUUAAUGGAGCAGUAAUUGUAAAUGGUAGGCUCCUGUCAUUUACAAGGUACUCUAUUGUUUUGCACUGUUGAAUAUGGGGCAUCGCCGAAGGAGUGCCUUUGAGGUAUUAGCCAGUCUUGAUGUUGGCUAAUAUAAUUCACUGAUAUAGAAGGCAUGGUAGCAGAGAGUUAAUAGUAGAGGCAUCUAUUGCAUGUUAUGGACUUGUUCUCUGGUAAGUGCUACUGUAAGUCAAAAGUCUUAAGUACUUUCAUGUUGAUCACCAUUUUUUGCACUUUCAUAAGGUUUUUUACUGGAUUGACGCUGUAUAGGCAAACAGUUUGCUAUGCUUUUACUAGCUAUCAAGUAAUCUUUCAAUAGCAACAAUUCUUGCUAAAUCAUUGUUGUUUUAAGCAUGCAGUGUUUGAUGUACGGACAUGCAGGAGAAACCUGCCUAGUGACACCGUGAUCCAUUAGACCUUUCCUCUAGAUUUAGGCUGAGCCUUGUCAAGUUUUUCCAACAUGUUUACCUCUGAUUUGAGUCAACUUUUAGAUGCUAUUCUAGUCUUAGCCAAUCACCAUGUGGAGCUGGUGGCUGGUGUAACACCAACCUCUUUGAUGUAAGGGCAGUAUUUUGUUCUCUCGAAGUGAACAGGUGGAAUUUUUUCAUGCCUUCUGUGAUGCAAUUCACAGAAGAUAUCUUUUCAUUUUCCCCCUCUUUUCUUCUUCUUGUUGUUGUUUGUUGUGAUGUAACCAAGACAGGUGCAGUUGGUGCAAUCAUGAUUUCAAUCUUGAGAGCUUGCCUGCAUCACUUGGCAGGCAAUGAGGCCAAGGAGCUUCUUAAACAAGAUUAAGGCUUGGUCAUUGAGCUAAGCAGUUUAUUGUACUAGGUUUCUGUAGGCCAAUGUCAUGACAAGAGCUUUUCAUUUUUAAUAUUAGCUUGGGUUGGGUGCAGAUCAUUUGGCAGUCAGUCUGAAUCCAAUCCAGAAACAUAGAAAGUCAUCUAGUUCGAUCCGAUAAUCAAAUGAAUAGAGUUGUUAAAAGUGAUUCUCAGAGUCAUCCAAAUGCAAAUAACUGAAUCCAGUAACUGUCCUGCCAAUGCUUGACAUGUGAGGGAAAAGCAUCAAUGACUAUGACGAGAGAUCGAGGAAGCAUUAAUGAUUAUAAUCUUUUAGCUAAUAAUUUAUUUUUUUUUUGAUUUUUUCAGAAAAGGGGAAGGGAUUUAUAAAACCUCACCUAAAUGUAGGUGGGACUCAAACCUAGAUCAGUACCUUACUGACUAUUAGUUGGCAACUGCGAUGCGAUGCAGCUCUCAUAAACAGAUAGAUGACCAUAAUGGCCCAUAUAUACAAAUCAAAUUUAAAUGCUGAACCGUGAACCCAGAUUAUCUUGUAAGAAAUUAAAUUGUUGAUCUUGAGAGCCAUGGCUGUGCCAUGUCAUACUUUUUUUCUGAAAAAAAGAAAUUGGAAUUCUGCAGCGCUAUUUAAAGUAUAAGCUAGUAUUGCAGUCUCAUAAAUUUUAUAUUGCGCAUGAAAUGUUGAAUUGGAGAUAUAUGUUUGCUGGUAGGAAUAGACCUAUGUAGUAUAUGUAUGUAGUCUCCAAUUUGCAGCUUUCAAAUUUUUUUUUUUUAUAAUUUCCUUUUUUUUUGGUAGGAACAUGAUAAAAUAAUGUUAAUUGCAUGGGGUAUAAAGCGCUGAAAAGAGAAAUUAUAUAUGCAUGGCAAUUAAGUUCAAGAUGGGUGUAUAAAAGAAAAUUAUAUGAUUGCUUACUUGAUCUCCUUGUUUAGGUUGAGUUCUGAUAUAUGUUGGUGAGAUGGAAUUAACUUGCACCAAGCUAGGCCAAUAAGCAUGGACUUGGCUGAGCAAGGUUCAAGUCUGGGACCCAUGCAAGAGGAGAAACAUUUAUUGGAGGUCCCACGUACAUGGAUGGGUUAACUGCUCUGACAUCCUGGUGGAGGAUCCAGUGUUGCAUCCCUCUCCUUUUCUAGCACUUUUGUCCCUAUGAAAGGUACUCUUUGUUCUUUUGCCUGUUUCUACCAUUCACCUGUCCCUAUAAGGGUAGCAAGUUUUAGAUAUUCCCACAACUGAUAAUUUUUGUUAUCAUCAUCGUUUAUGAGGAGAUGGCAUUGGAUUCUGUAGAAAGCCGAGCAAUAAUUGAAAGGAUAUUUUAGGAACACUCUCCUGCCUUCAAUAAUUUGAAAGUGCCUAUCGAUCUCUCCGCAUCUUUCCUCAACUUAUCUUCUGAUGCCCGUCACAUACUAGUUCUUGAUGCACAUAUCUUUUUUAUGAAGAUGGAUUUGAUCAUCAUGGUUUGUAGAUGCCUUGCAGUAUGAAGAGUUCGCCUUAGAGCUUGUCGACAGCCAUUGCGAAGGUUUUGCAUUGCAUUGUUUCGGAAAUGCAGUCGAGCAAAUUAAGCUGCAUAAUCUUAAGGUUGUUCUAGCUCCUUACAGGCUUGUCUAUCCUUCUACAGAAAUUUCAAUAAUUUGAGGGAAUACUCUUAAUGCUGAGGGUUGAUAUGGUCAGACUGGCAAAUAAGACCAGCGAACAACCCAUGAGAGUUUCCUAAGCAUUCCCUUGUCUGCUUCCAUUUCCAGCUCAUCAACCUCGCUGUUGUUGGCUAGUCCAUCUCAACAUCCCACAUGGACAUUGGUGCCUCGCCGGCCCCUCGCUCUCUUCUUCUCCUCUCUCAUACCAUCCAUCUAUUCUUUCCUCCAAAAAAAA